AUUGAACGCUGGCGGCAGGCUUAACACAUGCAAGUCGAACGAGUGGCGGACGGGUGAGUAAUGCUUUGGAAUCUACCUUAUGGAGGGGGAUAACUAAGGGAAACUGUAGCUAAUACCGCGUACCAUAGGUUGAGCCCAUGUGGGAUUAGGUAGUUGGUGAGGUAAAGGCUCACCAAGCCGACGAUCUCUAGCUGGUCUGAGAGGAUGACCAGCCACACGGGGACUGAGACACGGCCCAGACUCCUACGGGAGGCAGCAGUGGGUAAUAUUGCGCAAUGGGGGCAACCUGAUGCAGCCAGGCCGAGUGAAUGAAGAAGGCCUUAGGGUUGUAAAGUUAUUUCGGGAGCGAGGCGUUAACGACAGAAGAAGCACCGGCUAACUCCGUGGCAGCAGCCGCGGUAAUAC
rnacentral:rRNA from 1 species